GGGGGGGGGGGGGGGGGGGGGGGGGGGGGGGGGGUGGGGGGGGGGGGGGGGGGGCUUGGGGGGGGCGGAUGGGGGGCGAACGGGGGAGUAACAGGUGAGCAAGCUGCCCCGAGCGCUGGGAUAAGCGUUGGAAACGACGUCGAAGACCGGAUACGACGCGGGAGGGCAUCCUCUCCGCGUGGAAAGAACUGCGGGUCGGGAUGAGCGCGCGGCCUAUCAGCUUGUUGGUGAGGUACCGGCUCACACAGGCGACGACGGGUAGCCGGCCUGAGAGGGUGACCGGCCACACUGGGACUGAGACACGGCCCAGACUCCUACGGGAGGCAGCAGUGGGGAAUAUUGCACAAUGGGCGCAAGCCUGAUGCAGCAACGCCGCGUGAGGGACGACGGCCUUCGGGUUGUAAACCUCUUUUAGCAGGGAAGAAGCGAAAGUGACGGUACCUGCAGAAAAAGCACCGGCUAACUACGUG
rnacentral:rRNA from 1 species